rnacentral:pre_miRNA from 1 species
AAUAAAUAAAUUUUUGAAUUUUUGAAUAGAAUUUUUGACUCUUCGUCUUAUUUUAAUUUUUUAAAAUUAAUAUUUUUAUUGUUAUUACAUGAUAAACAUAACUAGUGCUUUACGUAUAACUAUUUUUUUAACUUUUUCAUAAACUUUUCAAAUAAGACGGAUGGUCAAACGCUCAAGCCAAAAAA